AUUUCUCUCUAUAAAUUAAGCCAUGCAUGUCUAAGUAUAAAAUGCCUUUUAUUACUGUGAAAACUGCGAAUGGCUCAUUAUAUCAGUUAUAGUUUAUUUGACAGUACCUUACUACUUGGAUAACCGUAGUAACUCCACACCUAAUACAUGCUGUUAAGCCUGACUUACUAAGGGCUGUAUUUAUUAUAUAACAGACCAAUAUUCCCUCCUGUCUAUUGUGGUGAAUCAUAAUAACUGAAUCGGAUCGCAUGGGCGUGCCCGCGAUAAACCAUUCAAGUUUCUGCCCCAUCAACUUUCGAUGGUACUGUAUUGGAACUACCGUGGGCGUUUACGGGUAACGGAAGAUUACGGUUCGAUUUCCGGAGAAAGGAACCUU
rnacentral:rRNA from 1 species